rnacentral:rRNA from 1 species
UACGAAGGGGGCUAGCGUUGCUCGGAAUCACUGGGCGUAAAGGGUGCGUAGGCGGGUCUUUAAGUCAGGGGUGAAAUCCUGGAGCUCAACUCCAGAACUGCCUUUGAUACUGGCGAUCUCGAGUCCGGGAGAGGUGAGUGGAACUGCGAGUGUAGAGGUGAAAUUCGUAGAUAUUCGCAAGAACACCAGUGGCGAAGGCGGACUCACUGGCCCGGUACUGACGCUGAGGUGCGAAAGCG